CAUGGGUGUGGAUCCAUCAUGAAUAAAUUAAUGCCUUUGCUGUUGGUGGGGGCAGGGAGCAUGGUACAGGGGUGACUGAGUUCCUGCUUUGUUAGUUCCCACUGAAACUGAUUGACAAAAAGGGCCUGGCACCUCUCUCUUCUCUCUCUUUCUCUCUCUCACCAUGUGAUCUAUGCAUGCCUGUUCCCGUCUGCUUGCACUAAGAAUGGAAACAGCCUAAGUUCCUCACCAGAAGCAGAGGCUGGCACCAUGUUUGUUAUGCAGCCUGCAGAACCAGAAAUCAUGGGAAAAACUGCCCAUUUCUGUUUUGUCCACUUUGCUUUGGGAAGUGAGAGCUAUAGUCAUUAUCACCACAUCCCCUGGCAUCCAAUUCCACAUUCUACCUCAGAAGUUAUUUGGAGGAAUCCAAGGACUUAGAUAUUUUACCAAUGUCUCUGGUGAUUUUUAUAUCGGUGGCCCAUGGGUGUUGACCUAUGAAACUGCUCUGCAGCAGAUAUUGAGAAAUAGGAGUUCAGGUAGUGAGACGAGCAUGAGUGGAGCAGGAGACGGCUGUCCCCCACCCACAAGGAAUAUCAGAUGAUGGUUCAGCGAUCAUCACAUUGCCUCUCUGAAAGUGAUAAAUUGGCAGCUGGCACCAGGGAGAGGCUAUUUCCUGAUGGCCCACACCUGUUGCACUAAGAUGUUAAUCGAAUGCAGAUUCCAGGGAGAAACAACUUCCUGGGCAUGUGCGUAAGAGACAAAAUGGCAGUAAAAAUUAGAGAAUGAGAUCAGAAUAUGGAUACAUUGCAAGAGGUGGAGCCCUGGAACAAAAGUAAGAG
rnacentral:lncRNA from 10 species